ensembl:snoRNA
AAUCAGUGAUGAGACUUAUCCCAAAGCUGAUAACCUGAAGAAAAAAAGAAAAUAUGAAGGAAUGUU